UCCUGGAGCCGCUUCGCUGGGUUCCACUCCUGCCUCCAUUCGUCGUGAGCUGCGUGAUCUAGGUUGUCAUACAAGCUCUCUGUGGCAUGUUUUCCUCGUGUGUAAAGUGGACAGUGAUUUUAUGUCUCACAGGGUUGCUGUAGGGAAAAAAAAAAGAAAUAAGAAUCACGUAACCCUCUUAGCACAGAGCUGGGUACUUGCUAGAGGUCCUCAUAUCCUCAUUACUAGACAAGGGAAGGAAGUAGAGGCUGACUUUAGGAAGCUGACUUUGAUAUGGAGAGUGGGUUUCCAUUUGUUGAAAACUUCGUGGGCUGAAUCUUCAGGGGGCUUUGUGGCUAUGCCUUUUACCUGGAUGGAGUUGAAGACAGGAAUUUAGAGGUGUCAUCACCAUUCCCAAGUUCUACAGGAAGGGACAGGAACGUGGACAGGGCGAUGUGUUGAGGGAAGCCGGUCUGUUUUCACAUCUCUUUUCCACAGAUUCUAAGAAUGAUCAUGCUUGACAGUCAUUCAGGAAUGAUUUGGUCAAACUAAUUAGCAGUGUUUCUUAAUAGCCACAGAGAACUCUCAUGCUGGUCAGUGAGAGGAAGUGAGUUAUUGGGCCAGAAGUAACUGGAAGUUUGUUUGCUUGCCUUUUUGUUUCUUGGUUAAUAUUUUAUAUUUUGUACCCAGAGACUGCUGUGCUGACAGGGAUGAGAUAGAGAAUUGAAUCUGAAUGGACGGAAAUGGAAAAUAAUGAUGACUAUCCCUGCAAGAAUUGUGGUGCCUGGCUUAGAUAACAGCUGCGAUCCUUCAAAGGAGAUGAGAUGGCGAGUUCUCACCACCCUGUCCUUCAGGGCCUCUUCUCAGCCCAGGAAGCAGGCUGCUGAGGUGGGCCACAGUGAGGCUGGAGUGGACACACACAUGCCUCCAGCCUGACUUCCCAGGCCAGGGCAGCUUGCAGCAUUCUCUCUAAACUUUCUCCAUUGUGACAUACAAGAAAGAUAAGAUUGUGGCAGACCUGCCGAAACCGGUUUGGCUCAGUGGAUAGAGCGUCGGCC